rnacentral:lncRNA from 1 species
GAAAUGGACAAAAAUACACAGAUUUAUUCAGAAUGUCAUACCGAUGAAGAUCACAUAAAAAUAUUUGGAAAAAUCAGAACUAUGGAUUGCAAUAUGGGACAACAUCCCUAAUGCGCCUCGAAAUGAGGAACUCAAAAGUCACGUGUAAAGAAAAAAUCUCUGUGUAGUGAUAUUGGACAUGUUUCUAUUUUUAACAAAUGACUGAACUUAAUUAUUUGUGGUGAUUAGGAAAGUAGAGGAACAUAGAAUAAAUGUGUAAAAACUAUGGAGCUAUUGAAUGUGUUCAAAGUAUUAAAUUUUGCAAGAACUUAUUGUGUUAAAAAGGGGAUAUUUUACCACAAGGAGCCGC